GGAGAGAGUGUGGCUCAGUGGUAGAGCAUCUGCUUGACACACAGAAGGCCCCAGGUUCAAUCCCUGACAUCUCCA